rnacentral:rRNA from 1 species
GAUGAACGCUGGCGGCGUGCCUAAUACAUGCAAGUCGAGCGAACAGACGAGGAGCUUGCUCCUCUGACGUUAGCGGCGGACGGGUGAGUAACACGUGGAUAACCUACCUAUAAGACUGGGAUAACUUCGGGAAACCGGAGCUAAUACCGGAUAAUAUAUUGAACCGCAUGGUUCAAUAGUGAAAGACGGUUUUGCUGUCACUUAUAGAUGGAUCCGCGCCGCAUUAGCUAGUUGGUAAGGUAACGGCUUACCAAGGCAACGAUGCGUAGCCGACCUGAGAGGGUGAUCGGCCACACUGGAACUGAGACACGGUCCAGACUCCUACGGGAGGCAGCAGUAGGGAAUCUUCCGCAAUGGGCGAAAGCCUGACGGAGCAACGCCGUGUGAGUGAUGAAGGUCUUCGGAUCGUAAAACUCUGUUAUUAGGGAAGAACAAAUGUGUAAGUAACUAUGCACGUCUUGACGGUACCUAAUCAGAAAGCCACGGCUAACUACGUG